rnacentral:rRNA from 1 species
UACGUAGGGGGCAAGCGUUGUCCGGAUUUAUUGGGCGUAAAGAGCGUGUAGGCGGUUAGGUAGGUCCGUUGUGAAAACUCGAGGCUCAACCUCGAGACGCCGAUGGAAACCAUCUAACUAGAGUCCGGAAGAGGAGAGUGGAAUUCCUGGCGUAGCGGUGAAAUGCGCAGAUAUCAGGAAGAACACCCGUGGCUAAGGCGGCUCUCUAGUACGGUACUGACGCUGAGACGCGAAAGCGUGGGGAGCGAACAGG